GUCACUGUCCCGUGCGAGAUCGCUUGCAUGGGGUUUAUUCUUUAAAAGCGGUGAAACAGAACAAAUUUAAUGUGCAUUUCGCUGUAUUCAAGAAAUAGCAACAGCCAGAAGUCUCCAUCUUAUCCAGCACGUUAUGGGGAGUUGGCAGCCUUGGUGAUGGUGCCAAAGCAGCCUGACAGCCGACAGAAAGAUUCAGGUUGCCUCGAAAUUUUACCCAAGCCAUGCCACACACUCCGGCCAGGCUUCUUGCAAACGACGUAUAACCAGGCUCAACGCAUCACUGUUGAGUGAGUCCGGAGAUCAAGGCAACCUGCUGUGCAACCAGCGCGCAACAUUUGGUGACCCCUCUACAUGUUCUAUCUAUUUCACAGCUGUACCUCACUGCUAUCUGUCCAAACAGCAUUAUCAGCUUUGGUCACUUAUCGAACGAUGGAUGAAUGUUAGGGUGGAGUGAUUUGAACAGACAUUCUAUUUGUCUCUUCAAAGUCUUUGCAAAUACUUCUGUUAUUAUAAUUCAUAUGUGUCUUUAGUACCUAGUUUUUAAUAGUUCCUUUCUCUUAGAAUUCUCACCAUCAACUCCUGCUAUUAUAAUGUAUAUAUGUCUUUAUGCCCUGUUUGUCAUGGUUCAUUUGUACUUGUGGAUGUAAUUGAUAGGUUCUUAAGAGGAAGCUUUAGCUCGGGUGCUCCUAUCUAAAUACAUGUAAAAGGAGAAUUCGUUUUCCUCGGCAACCACUGCACCAAAUUUGACGGGGUUUGCUGCAUUUAAAAGAAAAGCUUAAAAUCUAGUGACUGUUGGUUUCGAAUUUUCGAUUUAGGUCGUCAAAUUUUUAUAAAAAUUUAGCGAAAAUCGCAAAUUUUCAGAAAACGAAACUAUGAAGUUUACAACUCUGUAACUCGGCAAGGAAAAAUGAUAUCGCAAUUCUGUGAAUUGCACCUGAUAGCACACCUAAAGCGGACAAAAUUGAUAUGUUACACAUGAACCUCAAAAAUUGGAGUAUUGUGUAAUCACAACUUUUGCUGAACCUUCGUAAACAACGUAACAAAUUUACGUAAGAUGUAAACUGACAUAUCAAAUUUGUCCGCUUUGAAUGGUCUAAUGGAUGCCAUUUACAGAAUCGCGAUAUCUGUUUUUGAUGCAGAGCUAUUAGCUUGUAAACUUCGUGCUUCUAUUCUUUUCAAACGUCUGAAUUUUUAAAAAUCCUUUUAACAAAAUUCAAGCCCUAAAUCAAAAUUCCGCUUCCAACAGUCACUAGAAUUUAACUUUCUCUCUCAAAUGCAACAAAUUUCAUUAAAAUCGGUCCAGGGGUUAUCUCAGAAAAACGGUUUUGCGUUUUUACAUGUAUUUGAAUAGGUCGCGUCGGAGUUGGGCCCGAGCUAAAGCUUCCUCUUAAUUCUUGUUGUACAAAAGCCUCAAAUGCAAACUUACGGCAUUUUUUUCCCUUUGAUAAUCUACAGCACUGCAAUGUGUUCAAGAAAUGUAACAUAACACGGGCUCUGUUGCAGGAUAAAUUUAAGAGCAAUAUAGAGUACUUAUUUCAAGCAUCCGAUAUUUUUGAAAAAGUCGAGAAUAUAGGAGCACAAUAAAGAAAAUAUUAAACUAGAGAAACAUGGGGGUUCCCCUCAUAAGUCGGGUAACAAUGUGACUUCCUUUCGCUGCAAAGAUACCAGUGGUACUCGCAUACAAGGUUUGAGACAUGAAAGCUAUGAUGCCCUUGGCAUUUCUAGGUGCUUAUUUGCCACACUGACGAAUGUCAAAGGCAUCGUAGGUUUCAUGCACACAUUGGUUGUGUUAGACCUUUUGAGUAUUGCAUUUCUCAAACACACAGGUUUACAGCAGUGCGUUAAAUGGCAAAUGUAUUUCCUAAUUUUCAGAAUUUGUUAGUGCAAGAGUAACGGUGCAGAUCAUGUAAAAAUAAUUUUACAGACUAUAUAUCCCUGGAUGCACGCUUCUUCUGAUGACGUAACAGUACCAUGUGGUCGGGGGAUGAAUGUCUUUAUUUCAGAUUUAAAUAUUUUCUUCCAGGUCUGGGUUAGUCUCCUGCACUGAGUAUUCUAGGUCAGAGCGCAUUUACUAGAGGAAAGUGAAUUAAACUAGGAAUUAUAAACAUGAAAGAUCUUGUUCGGGACACUAAUGUGACAAUCAGCAAGGUUAUUUGUGCAUUCAUUUCCAAAUUUGUUAGGAUAUAUUUUCACUGGUUUCAUUAAUGCGAGAACAAAUAUUUGUUUAUUCUCACACCAGAGUUGGCUGCCCCCAUUGGCAUACAACCCAUUUACAGGCUAAAAAUUCAGUGUAUUAAUAGGCUGUUUUUGGUGUUAUGCACUCAGUGUUAAGGGAUGCAAACGGUGACAUACAACAGAAUGCAAAAAAUGACUAAGGAGUGCAAGCAGGGUGUGGGGCUUUUUAGGCAGAUGCGUGCAUGUGCUAUUUAUAGAACUCCCCAUAGUAUGCCUGAAGGCUUUCUGACACUUUGGUAGAAUACACUGACACCCACUUAUUAAGGGGAAAUUCUCCUCGAAACAACUUUUUUAAAUUAUUUGUACUAGAGAUUCGAAUAUACUGCUAUUCAUAGGGAGUUUUAUGCAGAUUUGAAUUGUCAUUGAUUUUUGUGGAGCUGGUGUUUUUUAGUUAUGUCCUACGCAGUGGCAAAAGAUUUUUGUGGGUACUUUCAUGUGUAUAAAAUUUGCACAAAUAGUUUCAUGCUGUAUCUUGUUUAGCUAGUUGUAUACUGCAAAUUGGCGAUAACUAUCCAAACAGCUUGUACAAUUA